UACGUAGGGCGCGAGCGUUGUCCGGAAUUAUUGGGCGUAAAGAGCUCGUAGGCGGCUUGUCGCGUCGGCUGUGAAAGCCCGGGGCUUAACUCCGGGUCUGCAUUCGAUACGGGCAGGCUAGAGUUCGGUAGGGGAGACUGGAAUUCCUGGUGUAGCGGUGGAAUGCGCAGAUAUCAGGAGGAACACCGGUGGCGAAGGCGGGUCUCUGGGCCGAUACUGACGCUGAGGAGCGAAAGCGUGGGGAGCGAACAGG
rnacentral:rRNA from 1 species